ACACGACUACAUUAGAUACCCGUGUAGUCCUAGCCGUAAACGAUACUCGCUAGGUGUCGGCCACGGUGCGACCGUUGUCGGUGCCGUAGGGAAGCCGUGAAGCGAGCCACCUGGGAAGUACGGCCGCAAGGCUGAAACCUAAAGGAAUUGGCGGGGGAGCACAACAACGGGUGGAGCUUGCGGUUUAAUUGGAUUCAACGCCGGAAAUCUUACCGGGACCGACAGCAACAUGAAGGCCAAGCUGAAGACUUUGCCGGAUUAGCUG
rnacentral:rRNA from 1 species